rnacentral:lncRNA from 1 species
GACUUUUGCAGGGCUGUGCCUCCUUUCCUCCCCAGACAAAAUCCAUCACGUCAGCAGUCACAGGGCACCCUGGUUCCCUCUCUGAAUGAACUGUUAAAUGACUAAGCUGGCUCCCAACAGAGGCAGAGCCCAGCAAUAUGCGGCCUGUAAUCUGUCAGAUGAUACAGCAACAGGCCCAGUGAGGGGCCCGACACACCCCCCAGGAGAGUGGAGUCUCUCACUGCAUGUGACGUGGAAGACGCCGAAGAGGUGAGGGAGGCACCAUAUGCUGCGGGCCUGCCAAGGGAGAAUAAACAGCACCGGCAGCCUGGCACAGAGCUCUGGCGGGAACGUCCACCAAGAUCGGUCAGGCACUCUCAUGGCGUCCUCCUGGAUACAGGCUUUUGCUUUUGUUUUUAAUUUUGGAGCAGUGAAGCCGAAAGUGAGGAGUGAGGACAAGGAGAAGACCCAUUUGCUCCUGUUCAUUCAAACAGCAUCUCUUCAUUUUGAAAUUGGCAAGAGGCAGUUCGGGGCUGUGGCAGGUCCUGUACACCACCUGUUGCCUCCCAAGUCACUGUGCCUUUCUGGCUUUCUUUACCUAUGUCCUGUAAAACGCCAGUUAAUAAAUGCUCCAUAUGCAGCACCCGUUGGUUUGCAAACUCCGUAGAAGAACUUCUGAUAAUCCCACAUCUCUGAACUUGAUUUAGGGCAAGAACUCUACAUCUUCAACAUUUUGUAGAGCAUUCCCUGCGAUGUGGAAAAUUCUGCUGGGCUAUUCCCUGAGGACACCUCUACCUUUCGUGUCCAGAAUUGGUGGGUUCUUGGUCUCACUGACUUCAAGAAUGAAGCCGCGGACCCUCGCAGCUCAAGCAUAUCUGAAUCGAGAAAAGCAGACAUGAUUGAAGCGCAUUUAUCUCCACUAAUUAAGAGGCUUAUGCCAGGCUGAGCUGAGAUUGUAACACCAGAUGAGCCUCCAUUUCAUCCCGCUACACCUGGAGAAGCUCCUGUGGGAGGAAGACUCAUGGAGACACUUUAAACUGGAAGCAAGAGACCCCAGGGAAGAGUGUUCUUAGGCAGAGGGAACAUAACAUGCUAACGUGCUAUGAGGGGACAUUGGUGUGCAAGUGGCAAAAAGAGUCCUGUCCCAGCACUGCAAGGGGAAGAUAAAGGCUCGUCAUCUGUGCGUGCGUCCAUCUGAGUGGAACGUGUGUCCCGGGGGCUGCUGCCACCGCGCCGGUCCCUCCUGUAAUCCGAGCCCGUGUCAGAGGACGCGGCGCCUGCAAGGCAAAAGGGUUGCCGCAGGUGUGGCCAGAUCCUCUAGGCAAGAGGUGUGGAUUCAGGUCCUACUAGUCUUACUCCUGAUGAAGCUGGGCAAAUCAGUUGGCUCUGGAGUAAUUAGUAGCCCCUUCCUCACUGACCAUUGCAAGGAAAUACCAGUGAACUUGAGUUUCUCCAAUGAAGGUGAUCACAGUGAUGAAUGACUUGGCUUCUGCACAGCAAAAGACAUGAUCAUCAGAGCGAACAGACAACCUACAGAAUGGGAGAGCAUUUGUGCCAUCUAUCCAUCUGACAAAAGUCUAAAAUCCAAAGUUUACAAAGAACUUAAACAAAUUUACAAGAAAAAAACA